UGUUAGGUAUGUGUGCGUGGGGAUGGUUCCCGUUCACUGCGCGAACCUGUGACCCAAAACAGUGUCCCGGCUGGAAUGUGCAGGCGGUGCAGACGCUGCUGCCACCCACGGCUCGUACGGGACAUUGCCCGGAGCGCAGUGGAAAGAUUGAGUCUGCUUUGCCAUCAGGUACCGGCUUCCAUGUGCAAGAUAACAUAUGAGAGGCUCAGUGUGGGACUUAUAAAGCAGAUUGUAAGCAACUGCUUUUGUGGAAGCUUUUCUUCUCUGUGCUCAAUGACUGGGACAAGUUCAGUUCAGUCUUCAAAAGCAGGACAUAGACUUUGGCUAUAUUUUUCAUAGUUGUGUGAAGCUAGAAAUCUGAACGGAUGCCUGUGCCGCCACCACCACCUCCUCCUCCACCACCUCUGCCACCCUCUGGAGGGCCUCCUGCACCACCACCUUCUGGAGGGCCCCCUCCACCACCACCUUCUGGAGGGCCCCCUCCACCACCACCACUGGUAAGAUUGACUUUUUAUUUCUAUUAGGAAGAGCUUAGCUAUAGUAGC
rnacentral:lncRNA from 1 species